UUGUUGUUAAGAAUAUAUUUUUUGGCUUUUGUUCGAGCGUAAUUUUCUCUCUUUCUUUCACCGAAUACUUGCUCUCUCUAACAGUCGUGUGCUUGAACGCUCGACCGACAGAACAAGACAUUUCUGUUCGUUUUGGUAUAAAUAGCCAUUAAAAAUGUGUUUUGAAAAUUAAUGCGUCAUCUUUGUGUGAAUUAAACCUUUUUAAACUUGUAUUACAAAAGGAAUGUCUUAGUUUGUCUAUUUGAUGAUAUGUGGGGGCUGAUUUCGGAAACUAACGAAUCAAAGUUGAUAGCUCUUUAAUUGUUUGAAAUCUACACAAUUUUCGAGGUUGUUGUAGCUUAUUUUUAAUGUUUUUUUACUAUUUUAAAGCAUUUCUUGUUGUUUAGAAUAUAUUUUUUGGCUUUUGUUCGAGCGUAAUUUUCUCUCUUUCUUUCACCGAAUACUUGCUUUCUUUAACAGUCGUAUGCUUUCCAUGCAAAAAACAUUACCCUCUUCGGUGGUACAGAAUUAAAGUCGACUUUUUCGCAGGCAUUUUUGACUGAUGUGGAAAAUUAUUUCAGUUUCAAGAAGGCGUUCCAUGAAUAAAACAUUUCUCUUUUCGAUGAUAAAAACAGAUCUUAAUUUGGAAAAAAUAAAAUAACCUUAGUACAGCCCUGUAAAACGUCAUCUGUAUUUGUAGAAACAAUAAAAAUCGCGAUUUUCGCAGGCAUUUUUGAUAGAGAAACUUAAUUCGUAAUUGGAAAAAGGCCUUCUAUGCUCAAAAUGUUAUACUCUCCUUAAUGAUAGGAAUGGAUUUUAAUUGGGACUUUUAAUAAACUUAAUACAGCCCUGUAAACUGCCGCCUGUCUUUGUAGAAACAACAAAAAUUGAGAUUUUCGCGCGGUCGCUUCAGGCUGAUCUGGAAAAUUAUCUCGCAGCUUCACAAAGGUAUUUGAUGCACAAAACAUUGCUCUUUUCGAUGGUACAAACUGAUUUUAAUUCUAAUUUUAAAUAAAUAAACUACAGCCCUGUAAAAUGACGUCUGUUUUUGGAAAAACAACAAAAAUUGGGAUUUUCUCACCUGUGGGAUGUGGAGAUUUCAUCUCGUAUUUUGACAAUGUUUUCCUUUGCAAUGGAAAAAACUCGGACUUUAACUAAAUCUUAUUGUCGCUGUGGUUUUGCAGAAACAAUAAGAAUUUUAAAAUCCGCGAUAUUUGUGUUGCUUUUACAUCUGUAAUUAAUACUUUUAACAAGCAUUACAACAAAAAAAAAUCUGUUUUUUUAAAUUUUUAUUACCUAUUGUUGUUUUAUUGUUUAUUAUUUAAAAAUCUGGCUCAACUUCGAGUAGUAGUUCAAAAGCUCUCCGUAAUACGCUCACCGAUUGCGCCACCAGUCUUUUGUUUUCUGCAAGAAACACUGUCUUCAUUAUAAUUUAGUAGAUCGCGAAGAGAAAAUGCUGUGCGGGCAGUUACAUUUAUACUAACCUGUUUUCCGUGGAAAUUAAUCAUGUUUGUGUGUGAAAAGUUCAUAAGUUUCUACCGUGAAAUCAAAAUUGGGACAUGGUGAUGAUUUAAAUGUGAUAUACUCAUUCAAUUUCAUUCGCUACCUGACGAUAAGAAUUGUGAAGAAGAUUUUUUAAGAAGAACGAACACCUGCAAUGGGCGAGAUCAGUGGAUGACUUAAAUUACAACAAUGGUACAUCUUCCAAUCCAGUCAUCAAAUAAGAGCCACCCCUACAAUGGACCAAUUAGAGCAUCGUCUUUACAGGGACACUUCGGGGAAUGAUACAUCGUCCAGUCCAGCUAUCAAACAAGAGGAACCACAGCAAUGGACCAAUUCGUGGAUCGUCUUUAUAGGGACAUUUCCAGGAAUUGUCUUCGUGCUGAAGAAUUUUUCAAAUCUUAUACUCUUUCAAGUACAUAUUCCAACCCAGUUAUCGAACAAAAACCACCCCAGCAAUGGGCCAACUCAAGGAUGGUCGUUAUAAGAACAACAAGAGUAAUGUAACAUCUUCCUGUCCAGCCAUUGAACAAGAACCACCCCAACAAUGGGCUAACUCAAGGAUCGUCUUUGUCAGGACACGAUUUUUAAAACUUCUUUUCUUUUGUGUUUAUUUUGCCACUUUUCUUUGGAACUUAUUUUAUUUUAAGUUUCUUGAGUUAGACUUACAAUCAUAUGCUUGCAGGAGUAUCUUCUUGACUUAUUUUUAGAUCCUUAUGUUGAAGAAUUUUUUGAAACCAUAUACUCUUUCAGGCAUAUCUUCCAGCCCAGUUAUCGUACAAGGAUCACCCCUACAAUGGACCAAUUCGAGAAUCGUCUUUAUAGGGACAGUUCGAGUAAUGGUACAUCUCCCAGUCCAGCCACCGAACAGGGACCACACCAGCAAUUGGUCACUUCCAGGAUCGUCGAGAUGCGAUUCAACAGGGGUAGGCUUAUUUUUUUGUACUU